AACGAACGCUGGCGGCAGGCUUAACACAUGCAAGUCGAACGGGCCCUUCGGGGUCAGUGGCAGACGGGUGAGUAACGGGUGGGAACGUGCCCUUCAGUUCGGAAUAACCCAGGGAAACUUGGGCUAAUACCGGAUACGCCCGAAAGGGGAAAGAUUGAUCGCUGAAGGAUCGGCCCGCGUCUGGUUAGCUAGUUGGUGAGGUAAUGGCUCACCAAGGCGACGAUGAGUAGCUGGUCUGAGAGGAUGAUCAGCCACAUUGGGACUGAGACACGGCCCAAACUCCUACGGGAGGCAGCAGUGGGGAAUAUUGGACAAUGGGCGCAAGCCUGAUCCAGCCAUGCCGCGUGAGUGAUGACGGCCUUAGGGUUGUAAAGCUCUUUCGGCGGGGACGAUAAUGACGGUACCCGCAGAAGAAGCCCCGGCUAACUUCGUGCCAGCAGCCGCCGUAAUAC
rnacentral:rRNA from 1 species